rnacentral:rRNA from 1 species
AGUGAACGCUGGCGGUAGGCCUAACACAUGCAAGUCGAACGGCAGCACAGUAAGAGCUUGCUCUUACGGGUGGCGAGUGGCGGACGGGUGAGGAAUACAUCGGAAUCUACUUUUUCGUGGGGGAUAACGUAGGGAAACUUACGCUAAUACCGCAUACGACCUACGGGUGAAAGCAGGGGAUCUUCGGACCUUGCGCGAUUGAAUGAGCCGAUGUCGGAUUAGCUAGUUGGCGGGGUAAAGGCCCACCAAGGCGACGAUCCGUAGCUGGUCUGAGAGGAUGAUCAGCCACACUGGAACUGAGACACGGUCCAGACUCCUACGGGAGGCAGCAGUGGGGAAUAUUGGACAAUGGGCGCAAGCCUGAUCCAGCAAUACCGCGUGGGUGAAGAAGGCCUUCGGGUUGUAAAGCCCUUUUGUUGGGAAAGAAAAGCAGCAGGUUAAUAACCCGCUGUUCUGACGGUACCCAAAGAAUAAGCACCGGCUAACUUCGUG